AUGUACUUAGAUGGGGCGUUCUCCAGGCAUGGCGCUGGGGCUGGGGCGGUGCUUAUAUCGCCCGCUCAGGACAAGCUCUAUUACGCCGUGCAGCUCUGUUUCCAGCAAGGUGAAAAGGUCUCCAACAACAUAGCAGAGUAUGAAGGUUUAAUAGCAGGCUUGAAGGCCGCGGCUGCCCUGGGGGUGAAACGCCUCACCAUCAAGGGAGAUUCGCAGCUCCUUGUCAAUUUCUCCAACAAGGUGUACGAGCCGAAGGAUGAGCACAUGGAAGCCUACCUAGCGGAGGUCCGCAAGAUGGAGAAGCAGUUCUGGGGGUUGGAGUUGCAGCAUGUGCCCCGUGGCACCAAUCAGGAGGCCAACGACAUCGCCAAACGGGCGUCCAGGCGGUUACCUUAG
rnacentral:rRNA from 1 species